GAAAACUUACAAUUGGGCUAUAAAUUGAAGGCCUAAAAGACGUACUCAAAUUAACUAAUUAAUUAUCAUGGCCAGAUAUCACCUUUCUCAAACUUAAAAUUGUGCUACAAAUAGAAGGCCCAAGGGAUAUAUAGCGAGGCAAGUUGAAGCUUAGUGAGAAUAUCUGAUCAUCUGCAUCCAAAUCCAUCACUCAGUUAACACACUGAGAGAUUGGCAGUGUGAUUGUUGCUAUUUAGAAAGGUAAUACAACUAGUUGUAUGAUAUUUAACAUCAUUGUUCCACCUAGCUAGACAGUGUUCCAUUCUGUUAAAGAACUUUCUCUCAAUCAACUCUAAUCAUUGCUAAUAUACGUUCAAAGGUCUCGCUGACAUUCUCUCAGCAUGUUUCUUCUAAACUUAUCACUGCCUUAUUGUAGUAAAAUAUUUAUAGAGAUGUGAAAGAUCAUUCAAACUCACCCUAGCCGAGACACCAAGCUACAAGUGUGUUAUUGAUAGCCAUGGAGAAUCCUG
rnacentral:lncRNA from 1 species